CAGUAGCCGCGGUAAUACAGAGGAUGCAAGCGUUAUCCGGAAUAAUUGGGCGUAAAGCGUCUGUAGGUGGUUUACCAAGUCUGUUGUUAAAAAUCAGGGCUCAACCCUGAUCCGGCAACAGAAACUAGUAGACUUGAGUACGGUAGGGGCAGAGGGAAUUCUCGGUGUAGUGGUGAAAUACGUGGAUAUCGAGAAGAACACCAAUAGCGAAAGCACUCUGCUGGGCCGAAACUGACAUUGAGAGACGAAAGCUAGGGGAGCAAAAGGGAUUAGAUACCCCUGUAGUCCCUGUCUCUUAUAC
rnacentral:rRNA from 1 species